UACGGAGGGUGCAAGCGUUAAUCGGAAUUACUGGGCGUAAAGGGCGCGUAGGCGGCCUGCUAAGUCGAACGUGAAAUCCCCGGGCUCAACCCGGGAACUGCGUCCGAUACUGGCAGGCUUGAAUCCGGGAGAGGGAUGCGGAAUUCCAGGUGUAGCGGUGAAAUGCGUAGAUAUCUGGAGGAACACCGGUGGCGAAGGCGGCAUCCUGGACCGGCAUUGACGCUGAGGCGCGAAAGCCAGGGGAGCAAACGGG
rnacentral:rRNA from 1 species